rnacentral:rRNA from 1 species
GACGAACGCUGGCGGCGUGCUUAACACAUGCAAGUCGAACGGUAAGGCCCUUCGGGGUACACGAGUGGCGAACGGGUGAGUAACACGUGGGUGAUCUGCCCUGCACUUCGGGAUAAGCCUGGGAAACUGGGUCUAAUACCGGAUAGGACUCCUGGCUUCAUGGUUGGGGGUGGAAAGCUUUUGCGGUGUGGGAUGGGCCCGCGGCCUAUCAGCUUGUUGGUGGGGUAAUGGCCUACCAAGGCGACGACGGGUAGCCGGCCUGAGAGGGUGACCGGCCACACUGGGACUGAGAUACGGCCCAGACUCCUACGGGAGGCAGCAGUGGGGAAUAUUGCACAAUGGGCGCAAGCCUGAUGCAGCGACGCCGCGUGAGGGAUGACAGCCUUCGGGUUGUAAACCUCUUUCAGCACCGACGAAGCGCAAGUGACGGUAGGUGCAGAAGAAGGACCGGCCAACUACGUGCCAGCAGCCGCAGUAA